rnacentral:rRNA from 1 species
CUUGCCUGCACCUGCCGGCGACCGGCGCACGGGUGAGUAACACGUAUGGAACCUGCCCGCCACAGGGGGAUAACCCGGGGAAACCCGGCCUAAUACCCCAUGCCGCCCGGACCGGGCAUCCGGUCCGGGCGAAAGGAGGAAUCCGGUGGCGGCUGGGCAUGCGGCGCAUUAGCUUGACGGCGGGGUAACGGCCCACCGUGGCGACGAUGCGUAGGGGUUCUGAGAGGAAGGUCCCCCACAUUGGAACUGAGACACGGUCCAAACUCCUACGGAAGGCAGCAG